AACGAACGCUGGCGGCAUGCCUAACACAUGCAAGUCGAACGAAGCCUUCGGGCUUAGUGGCGCACGGGUGCGUAACGCGUGGGAAUCUGCCCUUGGGUUCGGAAUAACAGUUAGAAAUGACUGCUAAUACCGGAUGAUGUCUUCGGACCAAAGAUUCAUCGCCCAAGGAUGAGCCCGCGUAGGAUUAGGUAGUUGGUGGGGUAAUGGCCCACCAAGCCGACGAUCCUUAGCUGGUCCGAGAGGAUGAUCAGCCACACUGGGACUGAGACACGGCCCAGACUCCUACGGGAGGCAGCAGUGGGGAAUAUUGGACAAUGGGCGAAAGCCUGAUCCAGCAAUGCCGCGUGAGUGAUGAAGGCCUUAGGGUUGUAAAGCCCUUUUACCAGGGAUGAUAAUGACAGUACCUGGAGAAUAAGCUCCGGCUAACUCCGUGCCAGCCGCCGCCGUAAUAC
rnacentral:rRNA from 1 species